rnacentral:rRNA from 2 species
UUGUCUCAAAGAUUAAGCCAUGCAUGUCUAAGUACAAGCCUCACUAAGGUGAAACCGCGAAUGGCUCAUUAAAUCACACCUAAUCUACUGGAUAGUCAACAGUUACUUGGAUAACUGCGGUAAUUCUGGAGCUAAUACGUGCACAAAGCCCCGAACUUACGUGAGGGGCGCUUUUAUUAGAUCAAAACCAAACGGCUUCGGCUGUUCUCUUGGUGACUCUGAAUAACUUUGGGCUGAUCGCAUAGCCUAGCGCUGGCGACAUAUCCUUCGAAGGUGUGCCCUAUCAACUGUCGACUGUGGCAUAGACGCCCACAGUGGUUUUGACGGGUAACGGGGAAUCAGGGUUCGAUUCCGGAGAGGGAGCCUUAAAAACGGCUACCACAUCUAAGGAAGGCAGCAGGCACGCAAAUUACCCAAUGACCGAAGGUCGAGGUAGUGACGAAAAAUAACGAUACGGGACUCAUCCGAGGCCCCGUAAUCGGAAUGAGUACACUUUAAAACCGUCCCCGAGGAUCUAUUGGAGGGCAAGUCUGGUGCCAGCAGCCGCGGUAAUUCCAGCUCCAAUAGCGUAUAUUAAAGUUGUUGUGGUUAAAAAGCUCGUAGUUGGAUCUCGGCAGUCCGAGGGCGGUUCGCUUGCUAGUGUUACUGCCUUAUGGACUGUAGUUUUGCCAGAGGUCUCGGGGUGCUCUUAACCGAGUGUCUCGUGAUGCUGGCAGGUUUACUUUGAAAAAAUUAGAGUGCUCAAAGCAGGCUUUUACGCCUGAAUAUUCGUGCAUGGAAUAAUAGAAUAGGAAGUCGUUUCUAUUUUGUUGGUUUUCGGAAAUCGACUUAAUGAUUAAUAGGGACAGUCGGGGGCAUUUGUAUUCAAACGACAGAGGUGAAAUUCUUGGACCGUUUGAAGACAAACUACUGCGAAAGCAUUUGCCAAGAAUGUUUUCAUUAAUCAAGAACGAAAGUUAGAGGUUCGAAGGCGAUUAGAUACCGCCCUAGUUCUAACCAUAAACGAUGCCAGCUAGCGAUCUGCCGACGUUUUUUUUGUAGACUCGGCAGGAAGCUUCCGGGAAACCAAAGCAUUUGGGUUCCAGGGGAAGUAUGGUUGCAAAGCUGAAACUUAAAGGAAUUGACGGAAGGGCACCACCAGGAGUGGAGCCUGUGGCUUAAUUUGACUCAACACGGGAAAUCUCACCAGGCCCGGACACUGGAAGGAUUGACAGAUUGAUAGCUCUUUCUUGAUUCGGUGGGUGGUGGUGCAUGGCCGUUCUUAGUUGGUGGAGUGAUUUGUCUGGUUAAUUCCGAUAACGAACGAGACUCUGUCCUGCUAAAUAGUGUCGGCCUCUCUUUUGGGCAGACAAUUCUUCUUAGAGGGACUGGCAACUCUCAGUUGCACGAGAUUGAGCAAUAACAGGUCUGUGAUGCCCUUAGAUGUUCUGGGCCGCACACGCGCUACACUGAAUAGAUCAACGUGUUCUCCCUUUCCGAGAGGAACGGGUAAACCGCUGAACCCUAUUCGUGGUAGGGAUUGGGGCUUGCAAUUGUUCCCCAUAAACCAGGAAUUCCCAGUAGGCGCAAGUCAUAAGCUUGUGUCGAUUACGUCCCUGCCCUUUGUACACACCGCCCGUCGCUACUACCGAUUGAACGUUUUAGUGAGGUCCUCGGACUGUUUGGUAGGCGGA